AUGCCUGGUACAAAGGAAAAGGAUGGUACUCAGUGCCUUCAGGCUUCCACAGGUCUCACACUAUUCCUAAGAUCACGAGCUUCAGCGGUGGCAAGCCUGGGGGGAUAUGGCUACUCCAGCGGGGCGCCAGCCAGCGGAGUCCGAAGUGGUGCUGGCCCGGAAUGGGGAGGCUUUGAAGAAAUCAUCCAGGGUGGGCGCUCGACUGUGAUUGAUAUGGAGAACAUGGACGAUACCUCAGGCUCCAGCUUCAAGGACAUGGGUGAGCUGCAUCAGCACCUGUGCCAGAAAGAAGUAGAUGACGAUGCAGCUGAUGCAGAAGAAGAGGAUGGCGAGUUCCUUGUCAUGAAAGGCUUUAAGGGACAACUGAGCCGGCAGGUAGCAGACCAGACGUGGCAAGCAGGGAAGAAACAAGCUUCCAGGGCCUUCAGCUUGUCUGCCAACAUCGACAUCCUAAGACUCUACUUUGAUGUGGAGCCUGCCUAGGUCCGAAGCAGGCUCCUGGAGUCCACGAUCCCUAUCAAGAUGGCCAACUUCCCCCAGAAAGUCACAGGCGCGCUCUACGGAGCUCUCAUGCUGGUCUUCACACUGGUCGCCAUCCUCCUGCAUGGGAUGAAGACUGCUGACACCAUUAUCCGGGAGGGCACCCUCAUGGGCACAGCCAUAGGCACCUGCUUCAGAUACUGGCUGGGUGUCUCGUCCUUCAGUCCUUCAUUUAUUUCCUUGCCUACCUGUGUAAUACCCAGGAUCACCAUGCUCCAGAUGUUGGCACUACUGAGCCAGGCCUCUUCAGGCACUGUCUAGUCCUGUUCAUCACCUAUAACAUCCACCUUCAUGCCCUCUUCUACCUCUUCUGGCUGCUGGGGGUGGAGGGGGCUCUCCACCCUGCGCAUGGUGGCAGUGUUGGUGUCACUGACUGUGGGCCACUGGCUGCUCUGCACAUGUUCUCCCUGUGCUCUAACUGCACUUCACCUACCACAGGGUGGUAGAGAGGAUCCUUGACACCCUGGAGGGCCUCUAUAACCUACCCAUGCAGAGGGUCCCCAGAGUGCUCCCUGCGGUGCUCCCUGCUGCCAAGCUUCCCACCGCUGUGUGUCAAUGCUACCGCCAAGGCAAUAAGCAGUGACUCUGCAGUCACACUGA